rnacentral:rRNA from 1 species
UUGCUAGUUAUGAUUAGUGGCGGACGGGUGAGUAACAUUUAGGAAUCUGCCUAGUAGUGGGGGAUAGCUUGGGGAAACUCGAAUUAAUACCGCAUACGACCUACGGGUGAAAGGGGGCGCAAGCUCUUGCUAUUAGAUGAGCCUAAAUCAGAUUAGCUAGUUGGUGGGGUAAAGGCCCACCAAGGCGACGAUCUGUAACUGGUCUGAGAGGAUGAUCAGUCACACCGGAACUGAGACACGGUCCGGACUCCUACGGGAGGCAGCAGUGGGGAAUAUUGGACAAUGGGGGCAACCCUGAUCCAGCCAUGCCGCGUGUGUGAAGAAGGCCUUUUGGUUGUAAAGCACUUUAAGCAGGGAGGAGAGGCUAAUGGUUAAUACCCAUUAGAUUAGACGUUACCUGCAGAAUAAGCACCGGCUAACUCUGUGCCAGCAGCCGCGGUAAUACAGAGGGUGCGAGCGUUAAUCGGAAUUACUGGGCGUAAAGCGAGUGUAGGUGGCUCAUUAAGUCACAUGUGAAAUCCCCGGGCUUAACCUGGGAACUGCAUGUGAUACUGGUGGUGCUAGAAUAUGUGAGAGGGAAGUAGAAUUCCAGGUGUAGCGGUGAAAUGCGUAGAGAUCUGGAGGAAUACCGAUGGCGAAGGCAGCUUCCUGGCAUAAUAUUGACACUGAGAUUCGAAAGCGUGGGUAGCAAACAGGAUUAGAUACCCUGGUAGUCCACGCCGUAAACGAUGUCUACUAGCCGUUGGGGUCCUUGAGACUUUAGUGGCGCAGUUAACGCGAUAAGUAGACCGCCUGGGGAGUACGGCCGCAAGGUUAAAACUCAAAUGAAUUGACGGGGGCCCGCACAAGCGGUGGAGCAUGUGGUUUAAUUCGAUGCAACGCGAAGAACCUUACCUGGUC